AGCUCCAAUAGCGUAUAUUAAAGUUGUUGCAGUUAAAAAGCUCGUAGUUGGAUUUCUGGUGGCGAGCCGCCGCCCCUUUGAGGGCGCGGAGGCUCUCCACCAUCCUUCUGUUAACCCUCCUCGGUCUUCGUUGGCCGGCUGGGAGCCCAGAUAUUUUACCUUGAGAAAAUUAGAGUGUUUCAGGCAGGCUCGCGCCCGGAUACAUUAGCAUGGAAUAAUGGAAUAGGACUUUUGCCCUUUCUGUUGGUCUGAGGGGUCGAAGUAAUGAUUAAUAGGGAUAGUUGGGGGCAUUAGUACUUAACUGUCAGAGAUGAAAUUCUUGGAUUUGUUAAAGACUAACUUAUGCGAAAGCAUUUGCCAAGGAUGUU
rnacentral:rRNA from 1 species